GCCUCUAGAUUGUGCCCGGCUGCAGAAGGUAAUCAACGGGGGCGGAGCGGAGGCCGCGACAUCACUGCGUCCUCGCCCGUGGGUGGAGCUAAGAGAGGGGAGAGAGCAAUCCAGUCCCCGCAGUGUGCCCAGCUGCAGGAGGUCAUCGACAAGGGCGUAGCAGAGACUGUGACAUCACUACAUCCCCGCCCCAGGGCGGAGCUAAAGGUGGACGGUCCCCGGGCGGAGAUCAGCUACAGGAGAGACCCUCCCGACGCAGGUCCCGUGUGUUCUCGGCUUCCGCUGACGUCAGUGAUCUGAAGCCAGAAGUUAAUGGACGGAUCCCGGGGCAGCGGCCGGUGACGGGCGGGAGCACAGAAGACCGGCAUAAACCACAGAAGAGCAUAAUCAGCAUUCGAAGAAAUUAACUUCCAUAAUCGUAAGAAGAAGAAGAAGAAGAAGAAGAAGAAGAAGAAGAAGAAGAAGAAGAAUAGCUUUCACUAGCAUUAUCAUUACAAGUUGUGGAUUUAAUUUUUUUUAACUAUCUCCUGUUUGGUAGGGUGUAUCCCACUUGCGUGUCACUUGAUAAUUGCAACCUGAAGGGUGUCUUAUCACACCGUGCCUUUACUUUCCACCAUGUCCACCCUGUGGUUGAGGAGGGAGUACUAUGCCAAAUCUCUUCAGCUGUCAUCUUCCCACUGCAUCGGAGAAGGUGUAGUUUGUUUUGUCCGUUUCUAGUAAACAGAGGGUGCUUUCACCAGUGUAGAAGUGCAGAAAGAGCCUCUUGAGACCAGGGAAAAGAAAUGUGCAGUACAUCAUUCUAUGAUCACAUAAUUUGGCCAAAUGGAGGUGAGGGGGGUUCUGGGCAACAGGAAAACCAACCCCACCCUCUGGCUGUACAUAAACAGCUUAAAGAGUGCUGCAAGUAUUAUAGUGGAAGCUGCUUGUAUAACUGUCAAUCUAUCAGGAAGAACUGUAAUGUUACUAACAAAGGCUGUCAGCAUGACAUAAGGAACUACCAGAGCUUGUGGUUGACAACACUUUUGUUACAUUUAAUUGAACUU